rnacentral:rRNA from 1 species
UACGUAGGGUGCAAGCGUUAAUCGGAAUUACUGGGCGUAAAGCGUGCGCAGGCGGUUGUGCAAGGCAAAUGUGAAAUCCCCGGGCUUAACCUGGGAACUGCAUUUGUGACUGCACGGCUAGAGUGCGGCAGAGGGGGAUGGAAUUCCGCGUGUAGCAGUGAAAUGCGUAGAUAUGCGGAGGAACACCGAUGGCGCAGGCAAUCCCCUGGGCCUGCACUGACGCUCAUGCACGAAAGCGUGGGGAGCAAACAGG